UACGUAGGUGGCAAGCGUUGUCCGGAUUUACUGGGCGUAAAGGGCGUGCAGGCGGUUUGUUAAGUCUAGGGUGAAAGCUCCCGGCUCAACUGGGAGAGGCCCUUGGAUACUGGCAGACUUGAGGGAGGCAGAGGAAAGUGGAAUUCCCGGUGUAGUGGUGAUAUGCGUAGAUAUCGGGAGGAACACCAGUGGCGAAGGCGGCUCACUGGCCCGGUACUGACGCUGAGGUGCGAAAGCGUGGGGAGCAAACAGG
rnacentral:rRNA from 1 species